rnacentral:rRNA from 1 species
CCUGACUGUGCUAAGGUAGCAUAAUAAUUUGUCUCUUAAUUGGAGACUUGUAUAAACGAGUUGACGAAGAGAACGCUGUCUCCUUUAAGGUUCUUAAAUUUACCUUUAAGGUUAAAAGGCCUUAUUAUCCCAAAGGGACGACAAGACCCUAAAAACUUUUUUCCUCACUAAUAAAAUAAGAAAUCUAGAUCUGGGAAAUUAACUGGGGCGGUAAAUUGCAACAAAAUUUAUUUUAACACUUUGGGUGGGCUUAAAAUACAUGAAUACAUAUAAGAACUAGUUACUUUAGGGAUAACAGCGCAAUUUUUCCAGAGAGUUCAAAUCGGCGGAAAAGAUUACGACCUCGAUGUUGAAUUGAAAAUCCUUCCGAAGAGCAGAAGCACGGAAAGGAAGUCUGUUCGACUUUUAAAUUUUCACAU